GUUUCAGCUUUUAUACGCAUCUUCAGGGACCUUUUGGAAUUUUUAACACCUUGGCGCACUAACGAGAAGGUCGUGACGUUCCCGCCUACGCCGCUGUGCGUACGUCAGCUGCCCAUGAAAGGAAUUCAUGCCAUGCCAAAUACUUGCUGAUGCUGGUUCCUUUGACGGGUGUGGACGGCGCAGGAGAGAAGACGGGCAACACAGGGGUCUUUUCGGACACCUUGAAGGCCUUCAGAAGCGAGCGACACGCUGAGCCUUUCUUCUUCUUGUCCUUCGCCAACGUGUCUUGUUUCUCCGGCGUGUCUUUCUUCUCUGGCGUAUGUUUCUUUUCCUUGUAGGAGGCCGGUGACAAGCUCUGCGGACCCGGACAAAGACGACACAUAUUAGACAAUCUACCUUUUAUCGACGACCCUUACUGUGUGUGUAUUUAUGUAAAUGAUCACGUACGCAGCAGCAGAGUGUCCAGCAGCUGAGCUUGGCGGCGUUGCGGCCCGACCCGGCGUAGCGGUUCUUCUUCGGCAGCAGCAGGACGAAGGACACGGACAGCGACAGGUGGUAGAAGCUGUGCACGUAAGCGUAGUCCCACUCCUGACAGACAGACAGAAAGACACUUGUUGAUGUGCAGACACGGGACGGGCGGCGGCGUCCGAUUUGCAAACCUCAAAGUAGAAGCGUAGCAUGAGGGCCAAAGCCCCGAAACAGCAGCCAGGACCGACCUGCUGGGUGUAAACCCGCUUUUCGGGGUACACCGCUCGCAGCUCCUUCAUCUUCUGAAGCUGGCAGGAGUAAGAGGAACAUGACGUGAAGGUGAGGAUAAGGAGGACAGGUGGGGAGGAAGUGGAGAGUAUGGAGUUGAAAGAUGGCGGUGGAGGAGGAUGAAAUGGAGGAGUAGGUGAAAAGGAAGCAAAGAGGGGAGGGAGAUGAGGAGAUAGAGUAUGAUUGAGAUGGGGAAGGAAGGGGCACAGAAGACCAAGGAGCAGGGAGACACUAACAUGAAAACCACUUGCUGGUCAAAGUAAGAGCACGUGGAUUCAUCUUGUACCGGUUCUCCUGCGUCUACUGGACUCACCCAUUUGACGGUGAUGAUGAAGACGGCCGAUCCGAUGGGGCCCGAGUAGAUCCCGUACCCCCAGCGGUCCUGGUAGAUCCGCACCGCGAUGCUCAGAACUCCAAACAUGGUCAUGCUGGAACGCUGAGGCUCGUCAAAGUCCCCCAAAGCUGAGCACGCAAACAAGGUUGUCGCCUUUGAAGUCUACUCAUUACACUUCCAGAACCUCAAACAAAGAGUCAUCUGUUUUGAUUUUUAAUGCCUCACAAAUUGAGGCACAACUGAGUUCAAAGGUCACCCUGGCGCUUUUAAUGGACUCCCCCGGUCAGCUGUUGGAACUGUUAGCCUGCAUCUGCGUCGGUGUGUGUCCAACAAAUGUUAUCCGCAGCUGUUUAAGUGUCUAAUCUGUGGUAGUCCUACAUCUCCAAGUUUAUUAAUUUGACUGUUUGCGAUUGGACUACAAACCCCACCAUCAAUUUGUUGUCCCCAGGCAAAGUGGGAUGUUUGGACUCACCGAUGAGCGUGACCCACAUGGAUAGUGCCGUGCCGUACACGCUAAAGUACUCGAGGAUGUCGUACUUCAUGAAGCAGAUGAUGGUCAGGCCAGGCCCGUCGCAGGCGUGAUAGAUCUGCACGCAACAACAAACAAAAUUUUUGUGUUCUUUUAUGGCUACAAAUUAAAAUUUUGUGGCUACAACUGAAUAUUUCAUGGCCAUUAAUCA